rnacentral:rRNA from 1 species
UGUCGUCAGCUCGUGUUGUGAAAUGUUGGGUUAAGUCCCGCAACGAGCGCAACCCUUAUCCUUUGUUGCCAGCGGUCCGGCCGGGAACUCAAAGGAGACUGCCAGUGAUAAACUGGAGGAAGGUGGGGAUGACGUCAAGUCAUCAUGGCCCUUACGACCAGGGCUACACACGUGCUACAAUGGCGCAUACAAAGAGAAGCGACCUCGCGAGAGCAAGCGGACCUCAUAAAGUGCGUCGUAGUCCGGAUUGGAGUCUGCAACUCGACUCCAUGAAGUCGGAAUCGCUAGUAAUCGUGGAUCAGAAUGCCACGGUGAAUACGUUCCCGGGCCUUGUACACACCGCCCGUCACACCAUGGGAGUGGGUUGCAAAAGAAGUAGGUAGCU